AAUGAGCCUGCGAGUUGUGGUGUCUGGCAAGGUUAAGCAAACGCGAAGCCGUAGCGAAAGCGAGUCUGAAUAGGGCGCUUAGUCAGAUGCUGCAGACCCGAAACGAAGUGAUCUAUCCAUGAGCAAGUUGAAGCUAGUGUAAGAACUAGUGGAGGACUGAACCCAUAGGCGUUGAAAAGCCCCGGGAUGACUUGUGGAUAGGGGUGAAAGGCCAAUCAAACUUCGUGAUAGCUGGUUCUCUCCGAAAUAUAUUUAGGUAUAGCGUUGUGUCGUAAUAUAAGGGGGUAGAGCACUGAAUGGGCUAGGGCAUACACCAAUGUACCAAACCCUAUCAAACUCCGAAUACCUUAUAUGUAAUCACAGCAGUCAGGCGGCGAGUGAUAAAAUCCGUCGUCAAGAGGGAAACAACCCAGACUACCAGCUAAGGUCCCUAAGUCUUACUUAAGUGGAAAACGAUGUGAAGUUACUUAAACAACCAGGAGGUUGGCUUAGAAGCAGCCAUCCUUUAAAGAAAGCGUAAUAGCUCACUGGUCUAGUGAUUUUGCGCGGAAAAUAUAACGGGGCUAAAGUAAGUACCGAAGCUGUAGACUUAGUUUACUAAGUGGUAGGAGAGCGUUCUAUUUGCGUCGAAGGUAUACCGGUAAGGAGUGCUGGAGCGAAUAGAAGUGAGCAUGCAGGCAUGAGUAGCGAUAAUUAAUGUGAGAAUCAUUAACGCCGUAAACCCAAGGUUUCCUACGCGAUGCUCGUCAUCGUAGGGUUAGUCGGGUCCUAAGUCGAGUCCGAAAGGGGUAGACGAUGGCAAAUUGGUUAAUAUUCCAAUACCAACAUUAGUGUGCGAUGGAAGGACGCUUAGGGCUAAGGGGGCUAGCGGAUGGAAGUGCUAGUCUAAGGUCGUAGGAGGUUAUACAGGCAAAUCCGUAUAACAAUACUCCGAGAACUGAAAGGCUUUUUGAAGUCUUCGGAUGGAUAGAAGAACCCCUGAUGCCGUCGAGCCAAGAAAAGUUUCUAAGUUUAGCUAAUGUUGCCCGUACCGUAAACCGACACAGGUGGGUGGGAUGAGUAUUCUAAGGCGCGUGGAAGAACUCUCUUUAAGGAACUCUGCAAAAUAGCACCGUAUCUUCGGUAUAAGGUGUGGUUAGCUUUGUAUUAGGAUUUACUCCGAAAGCAAGGAAACUUACAACAAAGAGUCCCUCCCGACUGUUUACCAAAAACACAGCACUCUGCUAACUCGUAAGAGGAUGUAUAGGGUGUGACGCCUGCCCGGUGCUCGAAGGUUAAUUGAUGGGGUUAGCAUUAGCGAAGCUCUUGAUCGAAGCCCGAGUAAACGGCGGCCGUAACUAUAACGGUCCUAAGGUAGCGAAAUUCCUUGUCGGUUAAAUACCGACCUGCAUGAAUGGCGUAACGAGAUGGGAGCUGUCUCAAAGAGGGAUCCAGUGAAAUUGUAGUGGAGGUGAAAAUUCCUCCUACCCGCGGCAAGACGGAAAGACCCCGUGGACCUUUACUACAGCUUGACACUGCUACUUGGAUAAGAAUGUGCAGGAUAGGUGGGAGGCUUUGAGUAUAUGACGCCAGUUGUAUAUGAGCCAUUGUUGAGAUACCACUCUUUCUUAUUUGGGUAGCUAACCAGCUUGAGUUAUCCUCAAGUGGGACAAUGUCUGGUGGGUAGUUUGACUGGGGCGGUCGCCUCCCAAAUAAUAACGGAGGCUUACAAAGGUUGGCUCAGAACGGUUGGAAAUCGUUCGUAGAGUAUAAAGGUAUAAGCCAGCUUAACUGCAAGACAUACAAGUCAAGCAGAGACGAAAGUCGGUCUUAGUGAUCCGGUGGUUCUGUGUGGAAGGGCCAUCGCUCAAAGGAUAAAAGGUACCCCGGGGAUAACAGGCUGAUCUCCCCCAAGAGCUCACAUCGACGGGGAGGUUUGGCACCUCGAUGUCGGCUCAUCGCAUCCUGGGGCUGGAGCAGGUCCCAAGGGUAUGGCUGUUCGCCAUUUAAAGCGGUACGCGAGCUGGGUUCAGAACGUCGUGAGACAGUUCGGUCCCUAUCUGCCGUGGGCGUAAGAAGAUUGAAGAGAUUUGACCCUAGUACGAGAGGACCGGGUUGAACAAACCACUGGUGUAGCUGUUGUUCUGCCAAGAGCAUCGCAGCGUAGCUAAGUUUGGAAAGGAUAAACGCUGAAAGCAUCUAAGCGUGAAGCCAACUCUAAGAUGAAUCUUCUCUAAGCUCUCUAGAAGACUACUAGUUUGAUAGGCUGGGUGUGUAAUGGAUGAAAGUCCUUUAGCUGACCAGUACUAAUAGAGCGUUUGGCUUAUCUUUAAUAAAGCAU
rnacentral:rRNA from 1 species